rnacentral:rRNA from 1 species
UACAGAGGGGGCAAGCGUUGUUCGGAAUUACUGGGCGUAAAGGGCGCGUAGGCGGCCUGUUAAGUCGAACGUGAAAUCCCCGGGCUCAACCCGGGAACUGCGUCCGAUACUGGCAGGCUUGAAUCCGGGAGAGGGAUGCGGAAUUCCAGGUGUAGCGGUGAAAUGCGUAGAUAUCUGGAGGAACACCGGUGGCGAAGGCGGCAUCCUGGACCGGCAUUGACGCUGAGGCGCGAAAGCGUGGGGAGCGAUCCGG